rnacentral:rRNA from 1 species
GUGGGGAAUAUUGCACAAUGGGGGAAACCCUGAUGCAGCGACGCCGCGUGAGCGAAGAAGUAUUUCGGUAUGUAAAGCUCUAUCAGCAGGGAAGAUAAUGACGGUACCUGACUAAGAAGCUCCGGCUAAAUACGUGCCAGCAGCCGCGGUAAUACGUAUGGAGCAAGCGUUAUCCGGAUUUACUGGGUGUAAAGGGAGCGUAGACGGUUGUGCAAGUCUGAUGUGAAAUUCCAGGGCUUAACCCUGGACCUGCAUUGGAAACUGUAUAACUAGAGUGUCGGAGAGGUGAGUGGAAUUCCUAGUGUAGCGGUGAAAUGCGUAGAUAUUAGGAGGAACACCAGUGGCGAAGGCGGCUCACUGGACGAUAACUGACGUUGAGGCUCGAAAGCGUGGGGAGCAAACAGGA